ensembl:misc_RNA 7SK 7SK RNA
GGAUGUGAGGGCGAUCUGGCUGCGACAUCUGUCACCCCAUUGAUCGCCAGGGCUGAUUUGACUGAUCUGGCUGGCUAGGCGGGUGUCCCCUUCCUCCCUCACCGCUCCAUGUGCGUCCCUCCUGAAGCUGCACGCUCGGUUGAAGAGGACGACCUCCCCGAUAGAGGAGAGGACUGUUCUUCGGUCAAGGGUAUACGAGUAGCUGCACUCCCCUGCUAGAAUCUCCAAACUAGCUCUCAAAUUUGAAGAAAGAAUAAAGGCUUUUUCAGAUAUUCAAUGACUCCCAUAAGAAUUUGACUUUCCAUG